rnacentral:rRNA from 1 species
GGGCUCACACAAGCGGUGGAGCAUGUGGCUUAAUUCGAGGCUACGCGAAGAACCUUACCCGGACUUGACAUGUGCGAAAGCGUCAGGUAGUAGAACCCGGAAACGGGAACGAACCUAGCAAUAGGGAGCCUGAUACAGGUGCUGCAUGGCUGUCGUCAGCUCGUGUCGUGAGAUGUCGGGUUAAGUCCUAUAACGAGCGAAACCCUUACCUUUAGUUGCAACCGCAAGGGCACUCUAGAGGGACUGCCUGCGUUAAGCAGGAGGAAGGCGGGGAUGACGUCAAGUCCUCAUGGCCUUUAUGUCCGGGGCUGCACACGUGCUACAAUGGCGUGUACAAAGUGAAGCAACCACGCGAGUGGAAGCUAAUCACAAAAAACACGCCCCAGUUCAGAUCGCAGGCUGCAACUUGCCUGCGUGAAGCCGGAAUCGCUAGUAAUCGCGGGUCAGCAACACCGCGGUGAAUGUGUUCCUGAGCCUU